AUCCAUUGGUGCCCAUUGGGAUCCAUUGGCGCCCAUCAGAAUCCAUUGGAACCCAUUGGGAUUCAUUGGACUCCAUUGGGGCCCAUUGGGAUCCAUUGGGGCCCAUUGGGAUCCAUUGGGAUCUAUUGGGGCCCAUUGGGAUCCAUUGGGGCCCAUUGGACUCCAUUGGCGCCCAUUGGAAUCUAUUGGGGCCCAUUGGGAUCCAUUGGGGCCCAUUGGGAUCCAUUGGACUCCAUUGGCAGCCAUAAACCCCCGUUAACGAACCCCCUUCUUAAUUACCCCCCCACCCCCCCCCCCCCCGGCUUCGUUAACGAGCGUUAAUUACCCGCAGGGAGCCCAAGAUGGCGGCGCUGCCCCAAAGGCUGCGGGGGGGUCCUGGGGGGCUGCGCUGCUCCCCCCGCCCCCCCCAAACCCCAAUGGGACCCCAACCCCAUAACGGAGGGCCGUCCCGGAUGUCCCCCAAAUGUCAGCGCCCCAUAAGGGGGGGCAAAGCCGGCGCCCCUCCCCCACCCUCAGGUGAGACCCCCCCC
rnacentral:lncRNA from 1 species